UACGUAGGUGGCAAGCGUUAUCCGGAUUUACUGGGUGUAAAGGGCGUGUAGGCGGGGACGCAAGUCAGAUGUGAAAACCACGGGCUCAACCUGUGGCCUGCAUUUGAAACUGUGUUUCUUGAGUACUGGAGAGGCAGACGGAAUUCCUAGUAUAGCGGUGAAAUGCGUAGAUAUUAGGAGGAACACCAGUGGCGAAGGCGGUCCGCUGGACAGCAACUGACGCUGAGGCGCGAAAGCGUGGGGAGCAAACAGG
rnacentral:rRNA from 1 species